AGUAAUAUAUUUUCUUUCUCGGUUUGCAUACACACUCUUUUUCUCUCUUAUAUUUGAUAUUGUCAAAUACUUGUCGAUCAGAAUUGUGUUCAAAUAGCAUGCCUCGUUUGCGGUAUAACUAUAAGUAUAUACUUGUUAAGCUUUUCUAUGUCCUUACUAGUAAACAUCUUGUGGCACCAAAGAAAGACACAAAUAAAUUUUGAAUUAGUAAAUAAAAAUAAUAAACAUGUAUUGGUAUAUAUUAAGCAUCUAUUGCAUAUUUCAUUUUUGGGUUAGAAUCUCUCCAUUUUCCAUUAUUUUCAUUUUUUUAUUAUUAUAUAAUUUUGGAAAUAUUAGCUCAAAUCACUUUUAUACACCUCCAAAAUAUUUAAAAAUUUUAGUAAUGAAAAAAAUGAAAAUAAUUUAAAAUUUAGAGGAUCUCAACUCUUUAUUUUUAGUAAGAAAAUUUUGUAGCAUAAUUAUAUACAGUGGCGGAGCCUGGGCAAAAUUGAGAGCUUGAAAGAAGAGAGACAGAACAUACCAAAUAAUGGACAUUAAGCUGGAAUUGUUAGCCUUUUAGGGUUUCAAUUUCAAAGAAUUUUCGAUCAAAAAUAAGAAAAAAAGCUAUAGACAAAUUACCAAAGUUUUUGAUCUUAUAAACAUAAUUUUAAUAAAAAAACAACACAUUUGGUUACUGAAAAACUACAUUUUCACAUUGUUUUAAGAAAUAUUUUUUAUCUUUAUUUUACAUCCGGUCCAAAUAUAUAAAUAAAAGGUAGCUUCUUUUACUUUAGGUUGAAGAAUUUGAUAUCAAUUUUACACUAAAAUAACAGUAAAUUUUAUACCAAAUUACACUAAACUUAUAUCAACUUUGGUUUCAAUGGAAAAAUGUUUCAAACAUGAAUGAAUUCGCAAUAAAAUCCAUUUUAAUCAAAUCAAUUUCAUAAUACUUCAUUAAAAAUCACACAUUAAUCAAAGGUUAACCAAAAUGUACUUGUUUCCCAGUGAUCUCCUUUUGUUUGUACUUGUUUCACCCUCAAUUUUGCAGUUCAAAAAAAAAAAGGUUAACCAAAACUCAGUGCAACAUUUCAAAAUGUAGAUCAAGUAAGGGGCAAAAACACAAAUUGAAUAAAUUACCAAUCAAAAAGAAAAAAUUGUAGAAAUAAAUACCUUGUUAACAUUGAGAUUUUGAGGCCCAAAAAUCGAAGAAAUUUGUGGAAAUGAUAAAACAUUUCCAAUGAAGAAUCAAAACUUUUUGGUCCCAAAUUCACAACACCAGAGUCUCAUCAAUUUAUAUCAAAAUUUCAUCACCUAAAAAUUGAAAACAAGGGGUCAAACAGAGUUUCAUCAAAUUGAACACAAGUGCCUGAAAUUGAAAACAAGGGGAACAAACAAACAAACAACCCUUUAAUUUCAAGUCUCAACCAACACAAUCAAUUGCUACAAAACCCCCUUCAUAAGAAUUCUAUUUUGAUCUAUAUGCCACAUAAAAGCAAUUUAAUCAAAGGCAUCCAAAAGCAAUUACCUCCUUUGAAGCCUACGGCGACGACAGUGUGGCGGAUGAGAAGGAGAUUCUCGAUCUAUGGCGUCAAAGACGAAGCAAGGCAACGGGAUGAGAGAUUAAGAGGACAGUGAUGACGAGGAGAGGACGCACGCGGGAAGAGAAAGUGAAAACCGUCG
rnacentral:lncRNA from 1 species